UACGUAGGGGGGCAAGCGUUGUCCGGAUUUAUUGGGCGUAAAGAGCUCGUAGGUGGUUCGGUAAGUCGGAUGUGAAAUCUCCAGGCUCAACCUGGAGGGGUCAUUCGAUACUGCCGUGACUAGAGGUCGGUAGGGGAGUGUGGGAAUUCCUGGUGUAGCGGUGAAAUGCGCAGAUAUCAGGAGGAACACCCGUAGCGAAGGCGGCACUCUGGGCCGAUACUGACACUGAGGAGCGAAAGCGUGGGGAGCGAACAGG
rnacentral:rRNA from 1 species